GCGCGGAGGAGCGCUGUGUGGUCCUCCCGGGGUUGGUCGGAGCAGCAGCGGCCGGAAGGUUCUGGAGACCCAGGAUCCACUCCCCCUUCAGCUACGAAAGCUCGCUCAGCGCCUCAGGGCCAGUCAACCGGAUGGCUGUUGGGAAAAAUGGGAGGGAGCUGGGAAAGCUCUGUACUCUGCCUUGAGUUCUUGGGAGAAAGACAAAAGGGAUGCCAGUAAGAGCCUUCUGGACAACUGAGAAUCAGGAGCAGCAUUAAUAAGGAAAGCACAUCAAGCCAGGAAUCAAAAUCUUUCCACUUCCUGCAUAAAAGCACAAAACCCUUCUCCUUCCCCAGCAGAUGAGGGAGAGGAAAAGAGGAAGAGUGUUUUGAGCUGCAAAAAUUGAGUAUGUUGAACUCAAGGAAACCUUACUUAGAAAAGUCAAGGGGGAGAAUUUCCAAAUUCAGACAAAGAGAGAAGUAUGUGGGAG